rnacentral:rRNA from 1 species
AUUCUGACUGUGCGAAGGUAGCAUAAUAGAUUGUCUUUUAAAUGGAGGCUUGAAUGAAUGGUUGGACAAAGUAUCAUCUGUUUCUUUAAUAAUUAUUGAAUUUGACUUUUAAGUGAAAAGGCUUAAAUAAAUUAAAAAGACGAUAAGACCCUAUAAAUUUUUAUAAAAAAUAUAAUUUUAAUUUGAAUUUAUAAGUAUAUAAAAUAUAAAUUAUAAUUUUAUUGUGCUGGGGUGGUGUAGAUAUAUAAUUUAACUGUUUAUAAAUUAAAAUCAAUAAUAAUUGAUUAAUAUAAUUGAUCCUUUAAGAGAUUAAAAGAUUAAAAUACUUUAGGGAUAACAGCGUUAUUUUUUCUAAGAGUUCUUAUUGAAGAAAAAGUUUGCGACCUCGAUGUUGAAUUAAAAUUUCUUUUUGGUGUAGCAGCUAUAUAAGAGAGUCUGUUCGACUUUUAAUAUUUUACGUGA